rnacentral:lncRNA from 12 species
UCUGGCAAUCACCAGUUUGUUCUCUGUAUUUAUGAGUCUGUUUCUGCUUUUCCUUUGCUUGCUUUGUCUUUUUUUUUUUAAGAUUUUAUUUAUUUAUUUGAGAAAGAGAGAGAGAGAAUGAGGUAGAAUGAGCAGGGAGGAGUGGCAGUGGGAAAGCAGACUCCCCAAUGAGCAGGGAGCCUGAUACAGGGCUUGAUUCCAAAACCCUGAGAUCAUGACCUGAGCCAAAGGCAGAUGCUUAACUGACUGAGCCACCCAGGUGCCCCUGCUUUCUCUCUUAGAUUCCACAUAAAAGUGAAAUCAUAUGGUAUUUGUCUUUCUUUGUCUGAUUUAUUUUACUUAGCAUAAUGCCCUCUAAGUUCAUCAAUGGUAUCACAAAUGACAAGAUCUCAUUCUUUUUUAUGACUGAGUAAUAUUCCAUCAUAUAUAUUUACCACAUACUCUUUAUCCAUCUAUUGAUGGACACUUAGGUUGCUUCCAUAUCUUGACUAUUAUAAAUAAUGCUGCAGUAAACAUAAGGGUGUAUAUAUAUAUUUUUUUUCAAAUGAGUGUUUUCAUUUUCAUUGUGUAAAUACCAAAGGUGAUCCUUUAUUUUAAAAACCUUGUCCCUUACUUUUUAGCUUCUUGACUCAAUCAUCUUCCUCUGCAUUGAGCCAAUGCCUAAGAUGAUGAUGAUAAUGAUAACAAAGAGAAAGAAGAGGAAGAGUUAACCUGAGCAAUUGCAUAUUCCAAGGAGAAAAGAAAGGAAGGGACUGAGGAAGAGGGGAAGAAAGAACAAAGAAAGGAAGAAAGAACAAAGAUCUUUUUCUAAGCAGAGAUGCUGUCUUAUGUGUCUUUGUCCAGAGCCCAUAGUCAAUAAAUGUUUGUUGAACUCAAGAUUCUCCUGUAAGAGGU